rnacentral:rRNA from 1 species
AGUGAACGCUGGCGGCGUGCUUAACACAUGCAAGUCGAACGAGAACGGGUUAUAGCUUGCUAUAAUUGUCAGCUAAGUGGCGCACGGGUGAGUAAUGUAUAGGUAAUGUGCCUCUUACUAAGGGAUAACAAUUGGAAACGAUUGCUAAUACCUUAUACUCCUUGUUAACAGAAGUUAAUAAGGGAAAGAUUUAUUGGUAAGAGAUUAGCCUGUAUUGUAUCAGUUAGUUGGUGGGGUAAUGGCUUACCAAGACUAUGACACAUAACUGGUUUGCGAGGAUGAUCAGUCACACUGGAACUGAGACACGGUCCAGACUCCUACGGGAGGCAGCAGUGGGGAAUAUUGCACAAUGGACGAAAGUCUGAUGCAGCAACGCCGCGUGGAGGAUGACACAUUUCGGUGCGUAAACUCCUUUUAUAUGAGAAGAUAAUGACGGUAUUAUAUGAAUAAGCACCGGCUAACUCCGUGCCAGCCGCCGCCGUAACAC